rnacentral:rRNA from 1 species
AUGUACAGAAGAGAAAAACUUGUUGUCGGAGUAUAUGUGGAUGAUCUUAUAAUCACAGGACCAAGCUCAACUGAAAUAGAAAAAUUUAAGGAGCAAAUGAAGAACAUGUUCAGUAUGAGUGACUUGGGGCUCCUGAGUUAUUAUCUUGGCAUAGAAGUGAAGCAACUGCCAAAUGGAAUUUUUCUGAAUCAAUCCAGUUAUGCGGGCAAGAUCUUAGAGAAAAGUGAGAUGAUUGACUGUUACUCUGCUCAAACCCCCAUGGAAGCCCGCCUGCACUUGAGCAAGUCCAGCACCUGCAAGCCAGUUGAUCCAACAAUGUAUCGCAGUAUUAUUGGGAGCCUGAGGUACCUGACACAUACUCGUCCUGAUAUAACUUAUGCAGUGGGCAUAGUUAGCAGGUAUAUGGAGAAGCCUGCUGCAGAUCAUUUGGCUGCUGUUAAGCGCAUCCUGCGGUACAUAAAAGGUACUUUGAACCUUGGUUGUUUCUAUGGAAGAGAAGAGGGAAUGACCAUGCAGCUGUGUGGAUACAGUGAUAGUGAUCAUGGUGGUGAUGUGGACGAUCGAAAGAGCACCUCUGGAGUAUUAUUCUACCUCAACUCGAGCCCUGUGAGUUGGACAUCACAGAAGCAGAAAGUAGUUGCGAUAUCUUCUUGUGAAGCAGAGUAUGUUGCUGUGCUUCGGGCGCCUGUCAGGCAAUGUGGCUGA